rnacentral:rRNA from 1 species
CCUACGGGGGGCUGCAGUGGGGAAUAUUGGACAAUGGGCGAAAGCCUGAUCCAGCCAUGCCGCGUGUGUGAAGAAGGCCUUCGGGUUGUAAAGCACUUUCAGUGGGGAAGAAAGCCUUGGGGCUAAUACCCUCGAGGAAGGACAUCACCCACAGAAGAAGCACCGGCUAACUCCGUGCCAGCAGCCGCGGUCAUACGGAGGGUGCGGGCGUUAAUCGGAAUUACUGGGCGUAAAGCGCGCGUAGGCGGUCUGAUAAGCCGGUUGUGAAAGCCCCGGGCUCAACCUGGGAACGGCAUCCGGAACUGUCAGGCUAGAGUGCAGGAGAGGAAGGUAGAAUUCCCGGUGUAGCGGUGAAAUGCGUAGAGAUCGGGAGGAAUACCAGUGGCGAAGGCGGCCUUCUGGACUGACACUGACGCUGAGGUGCGAAAGCGUGGGUAGCAAACAGGAUUAGAUACCCCGGUAGUC